CUCUACGCUGGCUGGACUAACACUGGACCCAGGACUGGUCUUGCUGCAACUUGCAUGCCCAGUACAAAGCUCAGCUUCACAGGACACUCUACUACAGCAGCAACUACGCGGAGUAGAGGCUGUGCCAACCCAGCAGCUCACUGAUGCAUGAGAGUUCCCCUUACCUGCCAUGAAAUGCAGAGUGACACUGGAGCUGUUUUCAAGAAGCACCCUUUCCCUCUCUUCAGUUUGAAUCUAAGGCAAGAGGCACUCAGAGACAAAGAAGGUUUUUUAAAGUCCCAGAGGAAACAAGAAAAUCAUUCUUAAAGUACUCUCAUAUCUUCAAGGCUAUUUAAGUCCUACAGAACUCUGUAGGCACUCCCCACCAGAAAACACAAGGAGUCAGAAGCUCAAAGAUAAGAUGCACACCUCACCAGCCCCUCAAAUGAAGUCUAAGCACCUCUGUUGACUCAGGUUUUUUCAUGGACACCGUUGAUGCCCAGUAAGGCUUUCAGGUAUGGAAAAGACCCACUGCAU